AUUGAACGCUGGCGGCAUGCCUUACACAUGCAAGUCGAACGGCAGCAUGAUCUAGCUUGCUAGAUUGAUGGCGAGUGGCGAGCGGGUGAGUAAUACAUCGGAACGUGCCCUGUAGUGGGGGAUAACUAGUCGAAAAAUUAGCUAAUACCGCAUACGACCUGAGGGUGAAAGUGGGGGACCGCAAGGCCUCAUGCUAUAGGAGCGGCCGAUGUCUGAUUAGCUAGUUGGUGGGGUAAAGGCCCACCAAGGCGACGAUCAGUAGCUGGUCUGAGAGGACGAUCAGCCACACUGGGACUGAGACACGGCCCAGACUCCUACGGGAGGCAGCAGUGGGGAAUUUUGGACAAUGGGCGAAAGCCUGAUCCAGCAAUGCCGCGUGUGUGAAGAAGGCCUUCGGGUUGUAAAGCACUUUUGUCCGGAAAGAAAUGGCUCUGGUUAAUACCUGGGGUCGAUGACGGUACCGGAAGAAUAAGGACCGGCUAACUACGUGCCAGCAGCCGCGGUAAUACGUAGGGUCCAAGCGUUAAUCGGAAUUACUGCGCGUAAAGCGUGCGCAUGCGGUUGUGCAAGACCAAUGUGAAAUCCCCGAGCUUAACUUGGGAAUUGCAUUGGUGACUGCACGGCUAGAGUGUGUCAAAGGGGGGUAGAAUUCCCGUGUAGCAAUGAAAAUGCUUAGAGUUGUGGAGGAAUACCGAUGGCGAAAGCAGCCCCCUGGGGAUACCCUGAAGCUCAUGCACAAAGGGUGGGGAGCAAACAGAAUUAAAUACCUUGGGAGCCCAGGCCUAAACCAAGUCAACCUAGUUGUUGGGAAUUCUUUCCUUUGAACCGAACUUAACGGGUGAAGUUUACCCCCUGGGGAAAACCGGGCCCCAAGAUAAAACCUAAAGGAAUUUGCGGGGACCCCCCCAAACCGGGGGAUAAAGGGGGUUAUUUC
rnacentral:rRNA from 1 species